CAAACUAAAAUACCUAUUUUGCCCUUCUAAUUACAAUUAAAACCCUAACUCUUUCUCUCACAAUUCUCGUUCUAUUCUCCCACCGCCUCUUCUCUCUCUCACUUCCCAUCAGCUCCGCUGCUCCGCCAUCGGCGCAAAAUCGCCUCUGCUCCGCCACCGGCGUAAAAUCAUCGCUGCUCCGCCAUGGACGCAAAAUCGCUGCUGCUCUGCCCGAGCCUUGCACCGCUGCUCCGCCAUCGCGCUGCUCGGUUCUUUUCUCUCUCUAACCAUUCUUCCGACGCGCAUCCCCGCUCCACCUCCACCGUUCUAGCGGUCGCUCGCCUUCCAUCUAGCGCCGCCUCUCUUUCGCCACACCUCCUUGCCGAGCUCAGCUGCCAACUAUUUCCACCGCCAUUUGCUUUCAAACUGCUGUCCCUAGAUGCGAAGAAUGAAGAGUACAACGGAUCUGGAAAAUCGCUGUGUUUUUACAGCAGAUCCGCACACAGUAGGUCUUGCAAGAGUACAUGGGUCCUGCUACGAACACGAGAAUUUCACAGGACCUCCAUUUUUCGCCGCUAAUUCCUGCUUCUUCGAAGCUUCGUGUUGCAAGCACGAGAAGGCCUGCCACUAUUUACUUUUUCAAAAACAGCGCCCCUGAAUAAUCUGUUCAGAAAGUAAGCGUUCGGCCUUUUACUUUUUUUUUUCUAGAACUUUAUCUAUAGUUUAUUACAGUUU